GACGAACGCUGGCGGCGUGCUUAACACAUGCAAGUCGAACGGAAAGGCCCUGCUUUUGUGGGGUGCUCGAGUGGCGAACGGGUGAGUAACACGUGAGUAACCUGCCCUUGACUUUGGGAUAACUUCAGGAAACUGGGGCUAAUACCGCAUAUGAGCUCCUGCUGCAUGGUGGGGGUUGGAAAGUUUCGGUGGUUGGGGAUGGACUCGCGGCUUAUCAGCUUGUUGGUGGGGUAGUGGCUUACCAAGGCUUUGACGGGUAGCCGGCCUGGGAGGGUGACCGGGCACAUUGGGACUGAGAUACGGACCAGACUGCUACGGGAGGCAGCAGUGGGGAAUAUUGCACAAUGGGCGGAAGCCUGAUGCAGCAACGCCGGGUGCGGGAUGACGGCCUUCGGGUUGGAAACCGCUUUCGCCUGUGACGAAGCGUGAGUGACGGUAAUGGGUAAAGAAGCACCGGCUAACUACGUG
rnacentral:rRNA from 1 species